rnacentral:rRNA from 1 species
GUURACCUCGGAUCAGGUAGGAAUACCCGCUGAACUUAAGCA